GAUGAACGCUGACAGCAUGCUUAACACAUGCAAGUCGAAGGGGAAGUGGGGCUUGCACCACGGUCACCAUGGCGGACGGGUGAGUAACGCGUAGGGACUCACCAUCGGGACCGGGAUAACAGCAUGAAACUGCUGACAAUACCGGAUCAGGUCAUUAAGCUGCAUAGCUUAGUGAUGAAAUGGGUCGCCUGCGGAGAGCCUUGCGACCUAUUAGAUAGUUGGAGGUGUAACGGCCCACCAAGGCGGAGAUGGGUAGCCGGCCUGAGAGGGUGGACGGCCACAAGGCGGCUGCGAUGCGGCCGUUCCUCCUCCGGGAGGCAGCAGUGGUGGAUAUUGGACGAUGGGGGCAACCAUGCUCAAGCAGUUCUGUGUGCAGAAAGACGGUUUUCGGAUGGUAAAGUGCUUUCAGCAGGGAAGAAGGAAGUGACGGUACCUGCAGAAGAAGCGACGGCUAACUACGUG
rnacentral:rRNA from 1 species